UUCUUCAGUCUCACACAGUCGGAAUAACAAUAAACCCUAACUGGGGACUUCGCAAACACAGACCGAAAAUGGUAGGCUUCGAAGUAGGCGCAGUGCCGUUCAACCCUGACGGCUGGGGCCCGCCGGAUUCUUCCAACGCCCUGCUCUCCAUCCCAAACCAACCCUCCAAUGUCCCCUACGCUCCCUUCUCCCGCUCCGAGAAACUGGGCCGGAUCGCCGACUGGACCAGGAAUCUAUCCAAUCAGGGCCGUCCAGGAUCAAAACAGGGAGGCCACCACCCAGCGGAUUCCGCCUUCGAUUUCUCCGGCGACGACUCAUUCGCUACCCUUGCGGCCGACGAAGACUCCUCCUUCCGCCUUGUCGACACCUCUGCCAAAUCACACCACUACAAUCCUAACCGUCCCAAAUUCAACCCCAGGUGGCGGUUCAACGCCCACCAACGUUCUCAGCUUCCACAACGCCGUGAUGAAGAAGUGGAGGCUCGUAAACGUGAAGCGGAGAAGGAACGCGCGCGUCGCGAUAGAUUGUAUAAUCUCAACCGCUCGCAGAUGCCGCAGCGUCGCGAAUCAUCUGUUUUCAAGUCUUCGGUUGACAUUCAACCCGAAUGGAAUAUGCUAGAUCAGAUUCCGUUCUCCACUUUCUCAAAACUAUCGUUUUCGGUGCCAGAGCCUGAGGAUAUGUUGAUUUGUGGUGGGCUUGAAUUUUAUGACAGGUCUUAUGAUCGGAUUACACCGAAGAAUUGCAGGCCGCUGGAGCGUUUUAAGAGCCGAAACUUCUUUAAAGUUACAACCACUGAUGAUCCUGUUAUUCGGCGCCUGGCAAAUGAGGAUAAAGCAACAGUUUUUGCUACUGAUACAAUUUUGUCGACACUAAUGUGUGCCCCUAGGUCUGUUUACUCAUGGGAUAUUGUGGUUCAGCGUGUUGGGAAUAAGCUGUUCUUUGAUAAGAGAGAUGGGUCACAGUUGGAUUUGCUUUCUGUACACGAGACAUCCCAGGAGCCCUUGCCUGAUGUGAAGGAUGAUAUCAAUUCUAUACAUUCGCUGAGUGUGGAAGCUGCUUAUAUCAAUCAAAACUUUUCGCAACAGGUUUUAAUUAGGGAUGGAAAUAAGGUGGCUUUUGAGGAGCCCAACCCAUUUGCAAAUGAGGGGGAGGAAGUGGCUUCUGUUGCCUACAGGUAUAGAAGGUGGAAGUUAGAUGAUGACAUGUAUUUGGUAUCCAGGUGCGAAGUGCAGAGUGUGGUAGAUAUAAACAACCAAAGAUCAUUUUUGACUCUAAACGCAUUGAAUGAGUUCGAUCCUAAGUAUUCUGGUGUGGACUGGAGGCAGAAGCUCGAGACUCAGAGGGGUGCAGUGUUGGCAACUGAGUUGAAGAACAAUGCGAAUAAGUUGGCAAAAUGGACUGCACAGGCUUUGUUGGCGGGUGCUGAUAUGAUGAAGUUGGGUUAUGUCUCCAGGGUUCACCCUAGGGAUCAUUUUAACCAUGUGAUAUUGGCGGUCGUGGGGUACAAGCCCAGAGAUUUUGCUACGCAGAUUAAUCUGAAUACUUCUAACAUGUGGGGUAUUGUCAAAAGUAUUGUGGACUUGUGUAUGAAGUUGAAGGAGGGCAAGUAUGUGCUUGUUAAAGAUCCAUCUAAGCCACAGGUGAGAAUAUAUGAUGUCCCACAGGAUGCGUUUGACAAUGAUUAUGUGGAAGAGCCAUUGCCAGAGGAGGAACAGGUUCAGCCUCCUGCUGAGGAGGCCGAUGGUGCGGAUGCAAAUGCCACAAUAAAUGAUGUUGAAGACAAGGACGUGAGCAAGGAAGCUGCUUAAAGGGUAAUACUGUAUGGGAAUGCAAAAGUUUGUGGAUAUGUUGAUUAUGCAAUGAAGUGGUGAAGUCGGACAAUAUUGCUAAUCGAGACCACAGGUUGUACGAGCACCAAGAAUGAGUCCAUCAAGAACAAAAACAGCUUGUUAUUCGUCUUGCAUAUUUUGCCAGAAAUUUUGUAUGUGAGGAGAAAAGACUGCAGGGAGAAAGAAUGAACAGCUAAAGUUUCUUUUUAUUUACUAGGCUAUUUGAUGUCUGUAAACCUCUACUAAGCCUUGUUGAGUUUCUAGGAUAUUGCUCAUUUUGGCUUGAUGUUUUGGUGGGAGGAAUUUUUGACUUCAAUGUUUGGACCAACCACCCCCUUUUUAUAUGUUGUUUUUAUGACCGAAAGAUUAUUGUAUGCGGCUUGGAAGUUUUA